ACUCAAAGGAAUAGACGGGGGCCCGCACAAGCGGUGGAGCAUGUGGAUUAAUACGUCACUAACCGUAGAACCUUACCCAGGCUUGACAUCUGGGGAACCCCUCUGAAAGGAGGGGGUGCUUCGCAAGAAGAGCCCCAAGACAGGUGUUGCAUGGCUGUCGUCAGCUCGUGUCGUGAGAUGUUGGGUUAAGUCCCGCAACGAGCGCAACCCUCACGGCCUGUUGCCAGCACUAACGGUGGGCACUCUGGCCGAACUGCCCGGGUAACCGGGAGGAAGGUGGGGACGACGUCAAGUCAGCAUGGCCCGUACGCCUGGGGCUUCACACAUGCUACAAUGGCCGGUACAGAGGGCUCCGAGGCCGCGAGGCGGAGGCAAUCCCAAAAAGCCGGUCUCAGUUCGGAUCGCAGGCUGCAACUCGCCUGCGUGAAGUCGGAAUCGCUAGUAACCGCCGAUCAGCUAAGCGGCGGUGAAUACGUUCCCGGGCCUUGUACACACCGCCCGU
rnacentral:rRNA from 1 species